AUUGAACGCUGGCGGCAGGCCUAACACAUGCAAGUCGAGCGGAUGAAGGGAGCUUGCUCCUGGAUUCAGCGGCGGACGGGUGAGUAAUGCCUAGGAAUCUGCCUGGUCGUGGGGGAUAACGUCCGGAAACGGGCGCUAAUACCGCAUCCGUCCUGAGGGAGAAAGUGGGGGAUCUACGGACCUCACGCUAUCAGAUGAGCCUAGGUCGGAUUAGCUAGUUGGUGGGGUAAAGGCCUACCAAGGCGACGAUCCGUAACUGGUCUGAGAGGAUGAUCAGUCACACUGGAACUGAGACACGGUCCAGACUCCUACGGGAGGCAGCAGUGGGGAAUAUUGGACAAUGGGCGAAAGCCUGAUCCAGCCAUGCCGCGUGUGUGAAGAAGGUCUUCGGAUUGUAAAGCACUUUAAGUUGGGAGGAAGGGCAGUAAGUUAAUACCUUGCUGUUUUGACGUUACCAACAGAAUAAGCACCGGCUAACUUCGUG
rnacentral:rRNA from 1 species